GUCUCGUACGAUCACGGAAGUUAAACAACGACGAGCCUAGUCAGUAAUUAAAUGGGUGACCGCUUUGGAAUACCAGGUGCUGUAA